GGGUGGGUACUCCAAGCGGUCAAAGGGGGCAGACUGUAAAUCUGCUGGCUAACGCCUUCGAAGGUUCGAAUCCUUCUCCACCCA
rnacentral:tRNA from 1 species